UACGUAGGGCGCAAGCGUUGUCCGGAAUUAUUGGGCGUAAAGAGCUCGUAGGCGGUUUGUCGCGUCUGCUGUGAAAACCUAAGGCUCAACCUUGGGCUUGCAGUGGGUACGGGCAGACUAGAGUGCGGUAGGGGUGACUGGAAUUCCUGGUGUGGCGGUGGAAUGCGCAGAUAUCAGGAGGAACACCGAUGGCGAAGGCAGGUCACUGGGCCGCAACUGACGCUGAGGAGCGAAAGCAUGGGGAGCGAACAGG
rnacentral:rRNA from 1 species